GAAGCAUGUAUAGAUUUUAUUGAUGCUAAAAGAAUGGAAAUUUAAAAAAAAACUUUUUUAAAAAUAAAAAUUGAAUUUUUUUUAAUUUGUGCAAAAACAAUUAUACUUAUUAAAGACAAGAAGACCCUAAGAAUUUAAGAUUUUACAAUUAAAAAGUUUUUUUUUUAAAAUCUUGAUUGGGGCGAUCAAAAAAUAUUAAUAACUUUUUAAAAUUUAAAUUGAUCUAUUAUUAAUAAACUAAUGAAUUAAAUACUCUAGGGAUAACAGCGUAAUAAUUUUUGAUAGAUCUUAUUGACAAAAUAGUUUGCGACCUCGAUGUUGGAUUAGGAUUCUUUUUUAAUGAAGAAGUUAAAAAAAGAAGUUUGCUCAACUUUUAAAUUCCUACAA
rnacentral:rRNA from 1 species